CAUUUUCACAAGCAGCGUCACACAUUUCGCCUCCAGGCAGUGGUCCCGCUGAAAACACUGCAAGCACGGGGACAACAGAGCUGAAGAUGCUGAAGCUUUUGCUUAUAUUGACCUUCGCUGAGAUUUGUGCAGCUCAAAAUGACAUCACUCUGUCAGUGUUCACGGUCACGUCUAAGAGUAUGACGGUGCAGUGGAGCGGCCUCAGCGGCGCCGGCUCCUACAGGAUCACAGCCACGCCCAAGUAUUCCUCCGUAAACCCCGUCUUCGCUCAGUUCGCGGGCAACACUGUGAUGGGAUCGCUCAACUCCCUGUCGCCUAACACCGUGUACACCGUGCAGUUGGAGGCCAUCGACAAUGCCUUCAAUGUGCUCAGCAGCGCCAAAACCGAGGAGACAACAGCUCCUGACAUCCCCAGCAUCACACAGGCCUACUCUAAGCAGAGCGACAGCAUCACCGUGGAGUUCACAGCCGUUUCCGGGGCGACCAGCUACAUCCUGCGGGCCGAGACCGACGACUUCUUCUCCGAGACCCCGGUGAGCGGCUCCCCGGGCACCGUGCUGGACCUGCAGCCCUACACCGACUACCAGCUCAGCGUCAUGUCGGUCAACGCGGGGGGCAGAAGUCAGCCCUCGGAGGUCGUCGGCGCCAAGACGGUGGUGCCCGGCCCCCGCAUCAACACCACGUCGCCCAGCAACGACUCCAUCCUGGUGACGUGGCUCCCCGUGGAGAACGCCGUCCUCUACACGCUCUGCAUCAUCAUGGAGGGCUCCAGCACGCGCCACAAGCUCAACACCACUGACACCGCCGUGACCUUCGGCGACCUCCAGGCCGGCGCCACCUACUGCAUCAAGGGCGCGGCGUGGGACGCCGAGGGUCGCACCGGGGACGACCUCACCGUCUGCCAGAUCACACGUCCUUCAAGCCCAAAUCUGAUAGACGUCCAGGUGACCCCGGGCCGGUCCCUGGGCAUCGUGGUGUACUGGGUGUCGGUGCAGGGGGCUGAGAACUACGUCGCCUCCACCUCCGGCGGGCAGAACUGCACCUCGGUGGACAACGCCUACUGUUACAUCAUGCCCGUGGAGUGCGGCAACAACCGCACCGUGUCGGUCACGGCGGUUAACGCGGCGGGGCCCAGCAGCCCCUCGCAGCCGGCCCCUUACAUCACAUACCCAUGUCUCCCAGGCAACAUCUGGGUGGAGGAGCCCACCCCGGGCAACUGCUCGCUGCGGUGGGACGACGUGCAGCUGGUGGAGUACUACAUGGCCUUCAUAAAGCGGGACGACGGCACCGAGAGGUCGUGCAACACCACCAGGACCACCUGCGACUUCUUCUGCGCCUGCGGCUACACCUACCUCGUCACCGUCUUCCCCUACAACCAGGCCGGCUCCAGUCCUUACGCCAACGUGCAGAACUACACCACAAUCCCCUGUUGUCCGCAGGGCGUUGCCACACAGCUGGUUUCCACGGACACGCUGGAGGUCACGUGGCUCCCGGUCAAAGGGGCCGAGCUGUACGAGACCAGGGCGGCGCGGGGCGCCGAGGUCGUCCGCUGCAGCGACACGUCGCCCGCGUGCGUGCUGUCGGACCUGAGGUGCGACGCGGUCUACUCCGUGACGGUCACGCCGUGCAGCGAGCUGCGGGGCUGCAACCUCACCUGCCCGUCCGGCGCCAGCGAGACAGCCCCCUGCGCCCCGGAGAUCUUGAACAUGACGCAGACCAACAGCUCCGCGUACAGGGUCUUCAUCACCCGCCCCAACGCGGCCAACGCCACCUACACCGUCACCGCCGUCGGCCGCUACGACGCGCAGAUCUGCCAGACUGUCAGCAGCUGGUGUGACUUCGCACAGCUGCCCUGCGGCUCCAGCUACGAAGUGACGACGGUGGCCACGACAGCGGCGGGACGCAGUCUGCCCGGAUACAGUCAAACUCUAGAAACGGGUCCCUGUUGUCCUGCGUCUGUGAACGUGACCCAGGUCACCCAGGCUAUGACCAACGUGACCUGGGCCCCCGGCAGUGGCGCCCGCUCCUACGUCACCUCCCUGCUGUCCUCGCGGGGCUACGCCAAGUGCCACACGCUGGACACCCACUGCCUGAUGGGAUGCAUCACCUGCAGCACCAACUACAGCGUCGCCCUGGAAGCCAUCAGCAGCACCGGGCACAAGUCACAGUGCAAUUAUCAGGGCUUCUCGUCCAGUCCGUGCUGCCCUACAGGCAUCAAGCUCUACCGCGGGGCCAAUAACACUGUGAGGGUGUACUGGCGGCCUCUGGGCCCGCAGAUCAGCAGCUACGUAGUGGACCUGUACGGGUCAGGGGUCAACUACACGUGUACUGCAACAGGCGGCAUGAAAUACUGCGACAUCCAGGAGGACACGGCGAGGGAUGUCUACACAGCAGUGGUGGCACCAGUGGGGCAAAACGGGGUCAAAGUGACCUUCUGUCUGCCCAGGACGUUCUCAGGUGGGACAUUCUGUGAUGUGACCUCUGAUACGAGUAUCUAAUGUUUAAAUGUGUUCUUAUCAUGAUGAUUCCUUCUUUUUCCAGUCCCCUACCCAGGAACUAAUGCCAAUUCUGCCAUAUUGAUCUCGCGUCGAAGACGAAGUGUGGACUAAAUAUCAAGUGACCACCCACACGUCCACAGUAACCAGAUGAACUAAGGAGCAGCACCAGGGGCGACUGAAACACAAAUGAAAAUCACUUUUGUUGGGAAACAUUUAGAUCCAUUUACUUGUGUUGUACUGAUGUUAAAACAAUACAAGUUAUAAUAUAAAUAUUUCAAGACUUGUCAUGUAUUGCCAAUAAAAACUAUUCCCAGUCUCCCAUGUUUAAUCACUACAGUCACCCUUUAUUAAUGAUGCUUGUAAUGAUUGAGCAGUAAAUCCCUCACAGAAAAGAAUCACAGCAAUAAGCAAAAACAGAUUGUAGGAACGUGUCCAAGUAGAAGACCUCCAUGCGGCCGCUGUUUUGCUUGACUCCCGGUUGUAACUCGAGCUGUUUGGUGAAUUUUCACCAGAUAGUGGGGCAGCAUGUAACCAUCCCAUCGGCCUGGAGUCAUUCAGUAAGUGGCUGGUUCUGUGGACGGGUCUGCUCAGACUGAUGGAGAUACAGUAUGUUCAAUGUCGCCUAUGUUCACUGAAUUUCUGUCUCCAUGUUUGCAGACAACAUCA